GUCUGAUGUUUGCUAUUGGCAGUCCUGAGUGAACUGGCUUGUUAGAAUAUAUUUGUGCCCCUGUCUCAACAGAUCUUGCUGGACCACCAGUAUCGUUGUUGUGGCCACUGUACGUAUGUUUGUUGAUAUUAUUCAUGCUUAUUAAAAAAAAAUUUUUGUU